UACUAAAAAAUUAAUCUAUUUCUACUAUUAAAAACUUAUGUGAUUGACAAAUUAAUCAAACAGUUAUAUAUGACGUGCCAUGUGUACCUCAUGUAGACACACAUGGACCAAUUUUUAACUAUAGAAAUAAAUGAAAUUUAAUA
rnacentral:pre_miRNA from 1 species